UACGUAGGGUGCGAGCGUUGUCCGGAAUUACUGGGCGUAAAGAGCUCGUAGGUGGUUUGUCGCGUUGUUCGUGAAAACUCACAGCUCAACUGUGGGCGUGCGGGCGAUACGGGCAGACUGGAGUACUGCAGGGGAGACUGGAAUUCCUGGUGUAGCGGUGGAAUGCGCAGAUAUUGGGAAGAACACCUGAGGCGAAGGCGGGUUGCUGGGCCGACACUGACGCUGAGGCGCGAAAGCCAGGGGAGCGAACGGG
rnacentral:rRNA from 1 species